AACGAACGCUGGCGGCAUGCCUAACACAUGCAAGUCGAACGAAACCUUCGGGUCUAGUGGCGCACGGGUGCGUAACGCGUGGGAACCUGCACUUAGGUUCGGAAUAACUCCCCGAAAGGGGUGCUAAUACCGGAUAAUGUCUUCGGACCAAAGAUUUAUCGACUUUGGAUGGGCCCGCGUUGGAUUAGCUAGUUGGUAGGGUAAAAGCCUACCAAGGCGACGAUCCAUAGCUGGUCUGAGAGGAUGAUCAGCCACACUGGGACUGAGACACGGCCCAGACUCCUACGGGAGGCAGCAGUGGGGAAUAUUGGACAAUGGGCGAAAUCCCGAUCCAGCACUGCCGCGUGAGUGAUGAAGGCCUUAGGGUUGUAAAGCUCUUCUACCCGGGAUGAUAAUGACAGUACCGGGAGAAUAAGCUCCGGCUAACUCCGUG
rnacentral:rRNA from 1 species